AGUUUUGUGUGUAUUAUGUAGCAAAAUGUAAAAGACAUUUUUCUGGCUUGUAUCCCUGUUCAUUGUUCAACAUCCUCACCAAAGCAUUAGAAUACUAAUUUAUGAUCCACACUCUUGUAACUUUACCUUAUUAAUUUGCCGGAAUUCACUGCUUUACUCACUCUCCGACUACCAAACCAGAAAACCAAUUUCCCAUCAUGUAUACAUCAAACAAUUGUCUAUAGUAUUUUCUCUAUCAAACCCAUUACUAGAUCUGACAUUUGCUGUUGAUGAAACUGUUCCUAUGUUGUUCAAUGAUUCUGUGUAAGCACCUGGAGAUGUUCUUGUUCUGUAUCUCAACAAUUGAUACAUAAGGUAAUAAAGAUUUGAACUCUAUUGAUUUUGAGUGAUGGGUGUAUUAUUUCAAUAAUUUAAGGUAUGAUUUACUGUUGUAGAUUAAUUUUCCAUUAUUGAGCCAAAUCAAGAAACAAAAUUUUCUGGGUGUGUGAAAUAUUGUCAUUAUAAUGUUUAAUUGAAUGUGAAUUUGCAUAAAAUUGGUGGGAAAUGAGCCGUUCCCCAUCAUUUUCAUUGAGGUCUGAAUCAAAUCCAAAGGUUGAUGAUGAAUCAUUACAUAGAUGGAUUGUAGCCUUUUGUGUUAUUAGGUUUGAUCUUGAACAAGGUCAGGUCAUAGAGGAAUGUUUUCCAUCUGGGUGUUUAACACAAGAUGAGGAGCUUGGGACUGCUUUUAGUUCGUUCCCGGAUUCUGUCUCACAGAAUCAUAACCGGUCUAGUAUUCAUGACUGUAUAUUCUUCUUUAGGUUUCGAAGGCAUGGGAAAGUAGAUGGACUUGUUUCUCAAGUAGUUGAGGCAGGAAAAGAUGCUAACAAUGGUGAAGGGUCGCGAUUUUUGUAUGGUUUUGUGUUUAAUAGGCAAAGGCAUGAUGAGAGACUUAAGCGAGGCGGUGAGCAGAAAUCGGUUGUUAUCUUGUCUCAUAAUCCAUUUUCUAGUGUGUUUAGACCUUUGCUUCAAAUCAUGGGUCCUUUGUUUUUUGACAUUGGAAAGAAAGCUCUUGAGCUUAUAGCUGGUUAUGUGUCAAUGUGGCCUCCUCCUGUUCAUGGGAAGUUAAUGGAGCUUCCCAUUGGUAAUUCUACUUUAAAGGUGAACUUGCCUCCUGCUUAUAGUUUGCCUUUGGACGGAAGAAUGAUAGUCGAGGAUUUGGCUACUUAUAUGGUUCCUUCGCUUGCUACGAAUCAGCCAAUUCCACUCGGCCUAUUCCAUGAUGCGGACAUUUUUGGAAUAUUUCGCGGAAUUCUCUUGCAACUUUGGGUUUUGUGGGAAUUAGUACUUGUUGGUGAGCCUAUCCUUGUAAUCGCCCCAACACCGCCUCAGUGUUGUGAGGCUGUAGCCGGACUUGUUAGUUUGGUUGCACCGCUAUUUUGUAGUGUGGACUUUAGGCCUUACUUCACCAUUCAUGACCCAGAAUUUGCCUAUUUGAAUUCAGUUCAAGAUGGUAGUACGUUUCCCCCAAUGAUACUUGGUGUAACAAACCUUUUUUUCCUGAAAGCAUUGCGAAACAUUCCUCACAUUGUGUCUGUUGGAAACCCGAUUGCCAAUUCAAGUCGUGCUAAUACUGCUUCUAGGUCGUCUCCUGGUAAACCAACUGGUCGCUUAGAUGGGUUGGGUGUUCAGCAGCUUUCCUUGAGGAGAUUUUCUCCAUCAAAUUUGUUGAAUGCAGUCAAGUUGAGGAGGGAAGGCCCUCUUUGUCUGAUGACCGAACACAAAGAAGCUAUUUGGACGACUUAUUCAGCGACUACGAAGCCAGAUACAUCUAUCUUAAACAGGCUUGUCGAUGCAGGGACUUUGGCAAGGGUUGAGGAAUCUAUGUCUGUUGUAAACAACGAGAUUCUCCGUAGGCACUUUCUAGAGCUCACAACGAACUUUUUGUCUCCCUUUGGCCCUUAUUUCAAGAUCAAUACACCAUCUGAAGGGUCCUCGCCAUUUGUUGACCCGCCCCUACUUCCUCCUUUUGACGCUGACGAAUUUCUUCGUGCUUUAGCUGCAAGAGGUCCAGGAAAGUUCCUAUCGAAGAGAAUGAGAUCAAAUUGGCUUGAUUUAUACAGGCGCUUUCUCAAGGGAAAGAAUUUUAUGCCGUGGUUUACUGGAAGACGAGCAGUUGCUGAACAGGAGCAGCACAGAUUAUGGAAACAAGCAAGAUUGAAGACUGAUAUUCAGUUUUUUAUAUCUAAGCUGUCUGAAAUAGAAGUUGUGGACGCCUUCAAUGCUAUUGAACGGCAUCUUGCGGAAUUGCAGGUUCAGAAAUCUGGAACAAGUGGAGAAGACGCUAAGAAAAACUGCCAGAAGCUGCAGAGAGACCUGCAGGCUGUGUUUCAUGUCCUGCCUAAGGACAUGCAACAGCUGCUCUUGAUGAAUCCUGACCGAGCAGCUCUCGUACAAGGGACUUAGAAAAUAUUUAUAUCAUCCAAAUUCAGAAAAUGUUAGCUAGACCUCGAAUCGACAGUACUCUAUUAUUAAUCAUUAUGUUGCCAAAGAUCCUUGUCUGCUGAUACACGUAUUUUCUUUGUUCAUCCGUCACUGAACAAAACUGUUUGUGGCUGGUCAUGAAGCCUAUAUUGACUGACGAUUGAUGCGUAAUGAUUAAGAAUUCAAGAACAAAGUAUGUAUCGGGAGCAGGAAGGUUGUGUGACAUACAAAUUGAGGAUCUAAUGACGAUUUUCUUCGCAGAUUUAGAGCACAAUAAACCCACGCUCGGCCACACUUGUAAUAUUGUGUUAUAAUUCAAUACAUCUUGUUUAAUCACCCGUCUCCCAGCUGUAUUUUUUUGUUUCGCAAACAGAGCAUUAAAUCUGAGUGUACUUUGAUGAGCUUAUUCGGAAAGAAAUACCGUAAUUACGAAGUGUGGAAGACAAAACAAUGGCAAGGUAUGUGUGUUUUUGAACGGUUUUGGCAAGUUUAUUUGGAGAAAUAUCGAUUUGCUUAGAGUGUUGUUCACUAGCUCGUUACGGAAUACUUGCAAUGAAGCAUCAUCUUGGAAAGUUUGGUACACAACAAAGAUUACAGACAACUCGCCUGCUCUUUUGGACAAUUUCUCAGCCAUCCUGGUGUCUUGGUAGCCCCUAUUUUGUAUUUCUGAUCAUACACUCGUACCGUUGGCUGGACUCAAAUCCAACAUGUAAAGAAAAUUUGAAAUGAUUAAGAGAAUUUAUCAACAAAA